rnacentral:tRNA from 1 species
AAGGAAUUAGUUAACUUAUAAUACCUGCUUGUCAUGCAGGAGUAAUCUUCAAGAUAUUUCUUA